rnacentral:misc_RNA from 1 species
GAUGAAGAACGUAGCGAAAUGCGAUAAGUAAUGUGAAUUGCAGAAUUCAGUGAAUCAUCGAAUCUUUGAACGCACAUUGCGCCCCCUGGUAUUCCGGGGGGCAUGCCUGUCCGAGCGUCAUUACAACCCUCAAGCUCAGCUUGGUGUUGGGCCCCGCCGCCCCGGCGGGCCCUAAAGUCAGUGGCGGUGCCGUCCGGCUCCGAGCGUAGUAAUUCUUCUCGCUCUGGAGGUCCGGUCGUGUGCUCGCCAGCAACCCCCAAUUUUUUUCAGGUUGACCUCGGAUGAGGUAGGGAUACCCGCUGAACUUAAGCAUAUCAAUAAGCGGAGGA